CACUCCGACCCUGUUCCUGGAGAGCUACACUCCUGUAGGUUUUCACUCCGACCCUGUUCCUGGAGAGCUACACUCCUGUAGGUUUUAUCUCCAACCAUGUUCCUGGAGAGCUACACUCCUGUAGGUUUUCACUCCGACCUCAGCUAUUAC